rnacentral:misc_RNA from 1 species
GAGCAAAGCUAGGCCUUGUGUUCAUCAACUGGGAUUGCAAAACACCCACAACUUCACAAAUAAAAGAAUCAUAACCGGUAAAACAAUGCUUCUCCCAUUCCAUCCAAUGGGAAGGAGGCUCAUAGUUCCUCUCCAACAUCUUCAUCUCAUGGAUUCUUUUCCUAAGAACAAUCAUAUUGGAAUCCACCAGCCGGCCGCUGUAGUUCUGGUCAUGGGCCUCUCUUCUGGCUGCGAAAACUCUAGUAGAUGACCUUUUAGAGGAUGGAACAAGGAGGAGGUUGGAGGGAGAAUUAUGAGAUAUUAAAGGAUGAAAAAUAAGAGGAGAUGAGAAGGACGUUAGAGAAGUUGUUGCCAUG